rnacentral:rRNA from 1 species
UACGUAGGGGGCAAGCGUUGUCCGGAUUUAUUGGGCGUAAAGAGCGUGUAGGCGGUUCGUUAGGUCCGUUGUGAAAACUCGAGGCUCAACCUUGAGACGCCGAUGGAAACCCUCGAACUAGAGUCCGGAAGAGGAGAGUGGAAUUCCUGGUGUAGCGGUGAAAUGCGCAGAUAUCAGGAAGAACACCCGUGGCUAAGGCGGCUCUCUAGUACGGUACUGACGCUGAGACGCGAAAGCGUGGGGAGCGAACAGG